CACGUAGGGGGCGAGCGUUGUCCGGAUUUAUUGGGCGUAAAGAGCUCGUAGGCGGUUCGGCAAGUCGGGUGUGAAAUUUCGAGGCUCAACCUCGAAACGCCACUCGAUACUGCUGUGACUGGAGUCCGGUAGAGGAGUGCGGAAUUCCUGGUGUAGCGGUGAAAUGCGCAGAUAUCAGGAGGAACACCAACGGCGAAGGCAGCACUCUGGGCCGGUACUGACGCUGAGGCGCGAAAGCGUGGGGAGCGAUCCGG
rnacentral:rRNA from 1 species